rnacentral:lncRNA from 1 species
AAGGCAAUAGAGGAAGAACAUCUAAGAGUAUCAGAGCAAAGUAUAUCUAGAGGCUACAAUAAGGGAAAAGAACAUAAGCCAAAUCCACUAGAUAAAACCAUAAAGUAAUACAAUAGGAGUCCCAAAUACAAGAGCUAAACAAGGUACAUAGGUGGUCUCUAUACAUGGUACAAAACCUCUCUCACACAAAAACGCAAAAAGAAGAGAGUAAUCACCUAGGAGCAAAAGCGAGCUCCGCUCUAUCUAGUUAGACGACACCCUUGCCG